rnacentral:rRNA from 1 species
UUAUAAGAGACAGCAGUAGCCGCGGGAAUACAGAGGGUGCGAGCGUUAAUCGGAUUUACUGGGCGUAAAGCGUGCGUAGGCGGCUUUUUAAGUCGGAUGUGAAAUCCCUGAGCUUAACUUAGGAAUUGCAUUCGAUACUGGGAAGCUAGAGUAUGGGAGAGGAUGGUAGAAUUCCAGGUGUAGCGGUGAAAUGCGUAGAGAUCUGGAGGAAUACCGAUGGCGAAGGCAGCCAUCUGGCCUAAUACUGACGCUGAGGUACGAAAGCAUGGGGAGCAAACAGGAUUAGAUACCCCUGUAGUCCCUGUCUCUUAUAC